GCAAAAAGACCAAAAUACCCCUAGCCUCCUUCAACCCUAGACAUUCCUUGUCUCUUUCACCGCGCACCCUCUAUCUCUCUCCUCCCCCUAUCUCUUUUCUUCUGAAUUCUGCUACUCCCCCAAAACCUUCUCCCUGCUUCAUUCUCUCCUCCACCUCUCGCCGUCGCCAUCAUCACCACCAUCACCGUCGGAUCUUUAGGGUUUCGUCCGCCGAAGCCGUUGAAAACGCCAGAAAGAUCGAAAACUGCGAAGGAGGAGGUAAAAAGUGGCGAUUACGAUGAGUCGCCGCCAUUGUUAAGGUUUUCAGUUUAUUAUUAUGGUUUCUUGGGUAUGAUUGAUGACUUGGUGUAACACUGCUUCUCUCAUUUGGCUGGAGGAAUCGACAGAUGCAUUUCUAUAACAAAAUCUUUUCCAUGGCAGAUGUAUUGUCACUCCGACAACUGGGUAUGUUCUUUGCUAUUGCCUUGAUCAUAUCUUACAUUUUUGUGUUUCUGCCUUUAUCACCUUAAUUGAUGGUUUUUGUUUCAAAUUAGUGCUAAUUGAGUUACUGUGAAUUAAGUGGGGUUUCCCUGCUAUCUUUACAGGUUGAGUUUCUAUGAUUUUUACUGGGUUUGAUGAUAAUUUGUUGUUAUGGAUUUGAUUUUGUUCAUGUCUGAUCUUUGGUUUUGGAUCAGAUCAUUACUAAGUUCGUUGUAAUUAGUAGUAAUAAUUAUUGUUUUAUUUUAAGAGAAUUGGUGUUAUUUUGUUGAUCUGGGUUGAUUAUAGUCGGUGCAUUUUAAUAAAGUAGGAUUUAAUUGAAUUUUAACUCCAUAAAUCAUCUCCUGGCUAAUUUUUUAUGUUUGUACUAAUUUUUCAUGUUUAUUUUUUGUUGAUUUGUACUGAUUUUCAUUUUUAAUUUUGUUGAAUUUGUACUGAUUUUUCAUGUUUAAUUUUCAUACAUUAUUACCAAUUUACAUAUCCAGAUUCUUCAAUUCUACUAGAAUGGUUAGUUAAUAAUUAUUAUCGUAAAAUAUUUGAUAAGUUGAUUGUUUUGUUUAAUCGGCCUAGCUUUUUUGCCGUCUUAAUGUGAUAGAAUGACCUGCAUUCCUUUUUUUUAAACAAAUGCAUUUUGAGGAGAUUUGGGGUUGUGAUAAGUUUGAAGGAAACAAGGAUAUGUUAGGUUAUUUCACAUCCUUUCAUUUUAGUACCAUGCUCACUUCCUUCAAACUUAUCACAACCCCAAAUCUCCUAAAAAUGUGCACCGCAGGUUUUCCUCAAUCAUCAGACCAAAUUUCAAGGUAAAUUUCCAAUCAUUAGACCAAAUUUCAAGGUAAUUACCAAUUGAAGGGUUAUUAUCCAAAUUAUUAUUCCAGUUUUGCAAAAUGAAUUGUGACAGAUUACGAAGAUUGAAUUGUUCGCAGAUACAAUUUCUAAUUGAGAAUCGAAGACGUAUACAAUUUCUAACUGAGAUUGAAUUAUUGAGAUUGAACAGGGAGAUUGAAAUAAUUAUCUCAAGUACACUUACCCCUGAGAUUGAAAUCAAUAAGUGGACGAAUUAUUUACUGAGAUGUGUAAUUUACUGAGAUUGAACAAGUGAACAGGGGUAUAGUGCUCGAAUUAUUUCAAUUUCGGCAAGUAUACCGAAAUUGUAUAAUGAUGAAGACGAAUUAUUGUUGAAUUAUUUCAAUCUUUAUCUGUUUGCGAAUUAUUUCAAUCUCAGUAAAUUACAAAUCUGUUAUAUAUAUGUCUGUUUUUGAUAUAAACAAGUUUUAUAUAUCCAGGGCUUAGAGUUACCAUUGACUGCAACUUGCGAAUGGUGAGGUGAAAACAAGAGGGGAAGGGAAGCUUGAUAAAGAUGGGAAGUUUAUAGUAGAUUUUCCAUAUAAUAAUUUUUCUGUUGUAGCCAAAGAAAUAUUUCUUUGUAUUAUUUCCCAGCAAAUUGAUUUAAUUUCUUUAUUUUGGUACUAGGAUUUAGAUUCUUUGUCAUUUAGAAGCAUGAUUAUUCUAUCUCACUAUUUAGAUGUAUGAUUGUAUAGUAUAACCUUAAUUUUUUUAAAUAUGAACUUUGUGAACA